GAUGAACGCUGGCGGCGUGCCUAAUACAUGCAAGUCGAGCGAACAGACGAGGAGCUUGCUCCUCUGACGUUAGCGGCGGACGGGUGAGUAACACGUGGAUAACCUACCUAUAAGACUGGGAUAACUUCGGGAAACCGGAGCUAAUACCGGAUAAUAUAUUGAACCGCAUGGUUCAAUAGUGAAAGACGGUUUUGCUGUCACUUAUAGAUGGAUCCGCGCCGCAUUAGCUAGUUGGUAAGGUAACGGCUUACCAAGGCAACGAUGCGUAGCCGACCUGAGAGGGUGCUCGGCCACCCUGGAACUGGGACACGGUCCAGCCCCCUACGGGAGGCAGCAGUAGGGAAUCUUCCACAAUGGGCGAAAGCCUGACGGAGCAACGCCGCGUGAGUGAUGAAGGUCUUCGGAUCGUAAAACUCUGUUAUUAGGGAAGAACAAAUGUGUAAGUAACUAUGCACGUCUUGACGGUACCUAAUCAGAAAGCCACGGCUAACUACGUG
rnacentral:rRNA from 1 species